rnacentral:rRNA from 1 species
AUACGUAGGGAGCGAGCGUUGUCCGGAAUUACUGGGCGUAAAGGGCGCGUAGGCGGCGCUUCAAGUCGUCUGUCAAAUGGGAGGGCUUAACCCUUUUUCGCAGACGAAACUGGAGAGCUUGAGAAGCAGAGAGGCAAACAGAAUUCCUGGUGUAGUGGUGAAAUGCGUAGAUAUCAGGAAGAAUACCAGUGGCGAAGGCGGUUUGCUGGCUGCAUACUGACGCUGAAGCGCGAAAGCCAGGGGAGCAAACGGGAUUAGAUACCCCGGUAGUCCUGGCAGUAAACGAUGUAUGCUGGGUGUGAGACUAGCGAUAGUUUCGUGCCGAAGUUAACGCGAUAAGCAUACCGCCUGGGGAGUACGGUCGCAAGAUUGAAACUCAAAUGAAUUGGCGGGG